rnacentral:rRNA from 1 species
GACGAACGCUGGCGGCGUGCCUAACACAUGCAAGUCGAACGGGGUAAUUACUUCGGUGAUUACUUAGUGGCGAACGGGUGAGUAACGCGUGAGAAACCUGCCUUUCAGUGGGGGACAACAAUUGGAAACGACUGCUAAUACCGCAUAAUGUUAUUUGAGGGCAUCCUCGAAUAACCAAAGCUUUAUGUGCUGAAAGAUGGUCUCGCGUCUGAUUAGCUAGAUGGCGGGGUAACGGCCCACCAUGGCGACGAUCAGUAGCCGGUCUGAGAGGAUGAACGGCCACAUUGGGACUGAGAUACGGCCCAGACUCCUACGGGAGGCAGCAGUGGGGAAUAUUGGGCAAUGGGGGAAACCCUGACCCAGCAACGCCGCGUGAAGGAAGAAGGCCUUCGGGUUGUAAACUUCUUUUACCAGGGACGAAGAACGUGACGGUACCUGGAGAAAAAGCAACGGCUAACUACGUGCCAGCCGCCGCAGUAAAAC